UUUGAUCCUGGCUCAGAACGAACGCUGGCGGCAGGCUUAACACAUGCAAGUCGAGCGCCCCGCAAGGGGAGCGGCAGACGGGUGAGUAACGCGUGGGAAUCUACCCUUUUCUACGGAAUAACGCAGGGAAACUUGUGCUAAUACCGUAUACGCCCUUCGGGGGAAAGAUUUAUCGGGAAAGGAUGAGCCCGCGUUGGAUUAGCUAGUUGGUGGGGUAAAGGCCUACCAAGGCGACGAUCCAUAGCUGGUCUGAGAGGAUGAUCAGCCACAUUGGGACUGAGACACGGCCCAAACUCCUACGGGAGGCAGCAGUGGGGAAUAUUGGACAAUGGGCGCAAGCCUGAUCCAGCCAUGCCGCGUGAGUGAUGAAGGCCCUAGGGUUGUAAAGCUCUUUCACCGGUGAAGA
rnacentral:rRNA from 1 species